GAUGAACGCUGGCGGCGUGCCUAAUACAUGCAAGUCGAGCGAACAGACGAGGAGCUUGCUCCUCUGACGUUAGCGGCGGACGGGUGAGUAACACGUGGAUAACCUACCUAUAAGACUGGGAUAACUUCGGGAAACCGGAGCUAAUACCGGAUAACAUGUUGAACCGCAUGGUUCAACAGUGAAAGACGGUCUUGCUGUCACUUAUAGAUGGAUCCGCGCCGCAUUAGCUAGUUGGUAAGGUAACGGCUUACCAAGGCAACGAUGCGUAGCCGACCUGAGAGGGUGAUCGGCCACACUGUAACUGAGACACGGUCCAGACUCCUACGGGAGGCAGCAGUAGGGAAUCUUCCGCAAUGGGCGAAAGCCUGACGGAGCAACGCCGCGUGAGUGAAGGAGGUCUUCGGAUCGUAAAACUCUGUUAUUAGGGAAGAACAAAUGUGUAAGUAACUAUGCACGUCUUGACGGUACCUAAUCAGAAAGCCACGGCUAACUACGUG
rnacentral:rRNA from 1 species